rnacentral:rRNA from 1 species
ACUCCUACGGGAGGCAGCAGUGGGGAAUGUUGCACAAUGGGGGAAACCCUGAUGCAGCCAUGCCGCGUGUGUGAAGAAGGCCUUCGGGUUGUAAAGCACUUUCAGCGAGGAGGAAAGGUUGGCGCCUAAUACGUGUCAACUGUGACGUUACUCGCAGAAGAAGCACCGGCUAACUCCGUGCCAGCAGCCGCGGUAAUACA